AACACCAUUAAAUUCUCAAAUCCACUCACAUUUCUGGGAAUUUCUUCACCAAUGAAAUUCUUUGUGAGGAUAAGAGUAGAGAGAUUUUUGCACUGCUGCAGUGCAGAUAAUGCUCCAGAUAGGUCAAAAAAACUAUUGUUUGAUAAAGUGAGAACCAGAAUGGAUGUGAGCUUUGCAAAACUAUUGGGGAUAUGGCCAGUUAACUCAUUCUUAGCCAGACUCAAAACUUUCAGUUUUUGGCAAUCAGACAGGGAAUUUGGAAGGGGG
rnacentral:misc_RNA from 1 species